rnacentral:lncRNA from 1 species
UAGAAUUUUGUGCUCAUAAAGAGUAAAGUCUAUGUAACUAAAGAAAAGGCUACAAACACUAGAAUGCUAAUCUCGUGGUCUCUCUCAAAAGGAAACCAAAACAAAGCAGGACCUGGCUGGUUCAAGUUUCGGUCUUCGAAUGGGACAUUUUUGUCUCCACACGAGAGAUUAGGCAGUUUGAAUAAAAAGAAUCAAAUCUUCUCUAUGUCCCAACGACACCCAAUGCAACUUCCUCCACACGUUCAUGUCCCCUUCCCUUUGAUUGUCUUUAUUCUAAGCCCAAAGCCAUAAUAAUGCGCACAGCUACAUGCUAAUACAAACAUUCGAUCCCC